GAUGAACGCUGGCGGCGUGCCUAAUACAUGCAAGUCGAGCGAAUGGAUUAAGAGCUUGCUCUUAUGAAGUUAGCGGCGGACGGGUGAGUAACACGUGGGUAACCUGCCCAUAAGACUGGGAUAACUCCGGGAAACCGGGGCUAAUACCGGAUAACAUUUUGAACCGCAUGGUUCGAAAUUGAAAGGCGGCUUCGGCUGUCACUUAUGGAUGGACCCGCGUCGCAGUGCUAGUUGGUGAGGUAACGGCUCACCAAGGCAACGAUGCGUAGCCGACCUGAGAGGGUGAUCGGCCACACUGGGACUGAGACACGGCCCAGACUACGACGGGAGGCAGCAGUAGGGAAUCUUCCGCAAUGGACGAAAGUCUGACGGAGCAACGCCGCGUGAGUGAUGAAGGCUUUCGGGUCGUAAAACUCUGUUGUUAGGGAAGAACAAGUGCUAGUUGAAUAAGCUGGCACCUUGACGGUACCUAACCAGAAAGCCACGGCUAACUACGUGCCAGCCGCCGCAGUAA
rnacentral:rRNA from 1 species